CCAGCUCCAAUAGCGUAUAUUAAAGUUGUUGCAGUUAAAAAGCUCGUAGUUGGAUCUCGGGCACCAGCAAGUGGUACGCUUAAUUGCUGUUACUACUUGACUGGUCCUAAUCAACCGGUUGGCCGUUGAUGCCCUUUAUUGGGUGUUUUCGGUAGCCGGUACGUUUACUUUGAGAAAAUUAGAGUGCUUAAAGCAGGCCAUACGCCUGAAUAAUGUUGCAUGGAAUAAUAGAAUAGGACCUCGGUUCUAUUUUGUUGGUUUUGUAGAGCAUUGAGGUAAUGAUUAAUAGGGACAGACGGGGGCAUUCGUAUUGCGGUGUUAGAGGUGAAAUUCUUGGAUCGCCGCAAGACGAACAACUGCGAAAGCAUUUGCCAAGAAUGUUUUCAUUAAUCAAGAACGAAAGUUGGAGGUUCGAAGACGAUUAGAUACCGUCCUAGUUCCAACCAUAAACGAUGCCAACUAGCGAUUAGCUGCUGUUAUAUAAACGACACAGCUAGCAGCUUCCGGGAAACCAAAGUCUUUGGGUUCCGGGGGAAGUAUGGUUGCAAAGCUGAAACUUAAAGGAAUUGACGGAAGGGCACCACCAGGAGUGGAGCCUGCGGCUUAAUUCGACUCAAC
rnacentral:rRNA from 1 species